GGCCGGGCCCGCAGGGCUUUCUAGGGGUCCGUCGCUCUUGAAGCCGCCGGCGGCGGGCGCGUGCGCGGCCCGACGAAGAAGGAGGUUCCCAAGCCGUCUCCGCCCAAGUUGAUCGGUGGGUGCGCGCCCCCGCGCGGGGCACCGGUUGCUGUGGACGCAGUGGCGGCCGUUGGCUGGCGGGUGCGGCGCAGCCUCGGUGUCUCUGGGCCGGCGGUGCAGGGCAACGUUUCAUGGUGCCGGGCGGCACCAUGAAGUCUCUAAAGAAGGAUUCCCGCCUCAGAAUAACUCCGACCAGAUUAUUAGAGGCCUCAGAGAAUGUCAAAGAAAAGAAGCGGGCAAAGGGACCUGAACAACCCACACCCACAAUUCAGGAAGAGCCUGAACCUGUUAGCAAUGUCCUACAAGGAGAUGACAUUCUUGCCUUGGCCAUUAAGAAGGAAGACUUGAAGGAGCAACACAUUCCUCGCCUUACUGAAAAGGAAGAUAAACGUGUCAUCACCCAGAAAUUUAUCAUCCGUAAACUCAAACCCAUGGAUCCUAGGAGGAAGGUCUGCCACCUUGUAGCACAUCCUGCGAAUCCUGAUGAAGCCACAAAGCCUCUGGACUACUCCGGUCCCGGUGACAGCUUCGAUGGCAGUGACCAGAUCCUGCCCCACCACAUCUUGGGGAGUCUCCAGGAUUUUAAGAGAAUUGCACUUGCUCGAGGGAACACCCAGCUGGCUGAGCGGAUACCUACCUCACCCUGUCUGAUGACCCUCAUCUCUGCUGAAGGAGAGUCAAAGCAAAAAGCCCCAAAAGAAGAGAAGAGACCUCCCUGGGCCCCACCUCCUCAGCACAACUUUCUGAAAAACUGGCAGCGUAACACAGCCCUGCGGAAGAAGCAGCAGGAAGCCCUCAGCGAACACCUAAAGAAGCCAGUGAGUGAGCUGCUCAUGCACACCGGGGAGACCUACAGACGGAUCCAGGAGGAGCGGGAGCUCAUUGACUGCACACUUCCAACCCGGCGUGAUAGGAAAAGCUGGGAGAACAGUGGGUUCUGGAGUCGACUGGAAUACUUGGGAGAUGAGAUGACAGGUCUGGUCAUGACCAAGACAAAAACUCAGCGUGGCCUCAUGGAGCCCAUCACUCACAUCAGGAAGCCCCACUCCAUCCGGGUGGAGACAGGAUUACCAGCCCAGAGGGACGCUUCAUACCGCUACACCUGGGAUCGGAGUCUGUUUCUGAUCUACCGACGCAAGGAGCUGCAGAGAAUCAUGGAAGAGCUGGAUUUCAGCCAGCAGGAUAUUGAUGGCCUGGAGGUGGUGGGCAAAGGGCGGCCCUUCUCGGCUGUUACUGUGGAAGACUACACAGUGUUUGAAAGAAGUCAGGGAAGCUCCUCUGAAGACACAACAUACUUAGGCACAUUGGCCAGUUCCUCUGAUGUCUCCAUGCCUAUUCUCGGCCCUUCUCUGCUGUUCUGUGGGAAGCCAGCUUGCUGGAUCAGAGGCAGUAAUCCACAGGACAAGAGGCAGGUUGGGAUUGCUGCUCACUUGACCUUUGAAACCCUAGAAGGCGAGAAAACCUCCUCAGAACUGACUGUGGUCAAUAAUGGCACCGUGGCCAUUUGGUAUGACUGGCGACGGCAGCACCAGCCGGACACUUUCCAAGACCUUAAGAAAAACAGGAUGCAGCGAUUUUACUUUGACAACCGGGAAGGUGUGAUUCUGCCUGGAGAAAUUAAAACAUUUACCUUCUUCUUCAAGUCUUUGACUGCUGGGGUCUUCAGGGAAUUUUGGGAGUUUCGAACCCAUCCUACUCUAUUAGGAGGUGCUAUACUGCAGGUCAAUCUCCACGCGGUCUCCCUGACCCAGGACGUUUUUGAGGAUGAGAGGAAAGUACUGGAGAGCAAGCUGACUGCCCAUGACGCAGUCACCGUCGUUCGCGAAGUGCUGCAGGAGCUGCUGAUGGGGGUCUUGACCCCGGAGCGCACACCAUCACCUGUGGAUGCCUAUCUCACCGAGGAAGACUUGUUCCGGCACAGGAAUCCUCAGCUGCAUUACGAGCACCAAGUGGUGCAAAGCCUGCACCAACUGUGGCGCCAGUACAUGACCCUGCCCGCCAAGGCUGAGGAGGCCAGGCCAGGGGACAAGGAGCACGUCAGCCCCAUAGCCACAGAGAAGGCCUCUGUGAAUGCUGAGCUGUUACCACGCUUUAGGAGCCCCAUCUCCGAAACUCAAGUGCCCCGGCCUGAGAACGAGGCCCUCAGGGAAUCCGGGUCCCAGAAGGCCAGAGUGGGGACCAAGAGUCCUCAGCGGAAGAGCAUCAUGGAGGAGAUCCUGGUGGAGGAAAGCCCAGAUGUGGACAGCACCAAGAGCCCCUGGGAGCCGGAUGGCCUUCCCCUGCUGGAGUGGAACCUCUGCUUGGAGGACUUCAGAAAGGCAGUGAUGGUGCUCCCUGAUGAGAACCAGAGAGAGGAUGCGUUGAUGAGGCUCAACAAAGCAGCCCUGGAGCUGUGCCAGAAGCCAAGGCCAUUGCAGUCCAACCUCCUGCACCAGAUGUGUUUGCAGCUGUGGCGAGAUGUGAUUGACAGCCUGGUGGGCCAUUCCAUGUGGCUGAGGUCUGUGCUGGGCCUGCCUGAGAAGGAGACCAUCUAUUUGAAUGUGCCUGAAGAGCAAGAUCAAAAAUCACCUCCUAUCAUGGAAGUGAAGGUACCUGUGGGGAAAGCUGGGAAGGAGGAGCGGAAAGGAGCAGCCCAGGAAAAGAAGCAACUGGGGAUCAAAGACAAAGAAGACAAGAAAGGAGCCAAGCUGCUCGGGAAAGAGCAGGACCGUCCCAACAGCAAGAAGCACAAGGCAAAGGAUGACAAGAAAGUCAUAAAAUCUGCAAGUCGGGACAGGUUUUCUUUGGAAGACCCUACCCCUGACAUCAUCCUCUCUUCUCAAGAACCCAUAGACCCCCUGGUCAUGGGGAAAUACACCCAGAGGCUGCACAGUGAGGUGAAGGGAAGCGCCCAGCAGCCAUUCCCCUGCCUGCCACCUGCCUUAUUCAUUCCGUUCAGUCUGCAGACAAUAAGUGCCCACUCCAUCAUGGUGGAAGCAGAGCUGCUUCAGGAAGGGCAUCCUCGUGUGUGAGACAGGCCUCAUGAAUAAGGAAUGCGCCUAGCAUGUUAGGUGAUGAGUACGAUGGGAGAGAAGAUAGACCAGGCAGGGAAUGGAGGCACAGAGGCCUCAGUGAGGAGGUGCAUCCUGGCAGAUGCGUUCCUUGGGAGAACACCAUGCAGGGUGCAUUCCCAUCAACUGUAAGAGUUUUGAAGAACUAGAGAGACUUCAUCCUAAUCUGUUCUUAAGUAGCAGAUCCUCAGAAAUUCACCCAGGUCCGUGGGCUGCUGGACACCCUGGUGACCGACCUGAUGGUCCUGGCUGAUGAGCUCAGCCCCAUAAAGAAUGUCGAGGAGGCUUUGCGCCUCUGCAGGUGACUCUCGGGCCCAAGCAACCUUCUGGAAAAUGGGUUAAUAAAUAAAUCAAUAAAGAACCUUCAAGUUUCUACUA